rnacentral:rRNA from 1 species
AACGAACGCUGGCGGCAGGCCUAACACAUGCAAGUCGAGCGCCCAGCAAUGGGAGCGGCGGACGGGUGAGUAACGCGUGGGAAUUUUUCCUGGAGUACGGAACAACCGAGGGAAACUUCGGCUAAUACCGUAUGAUGUCUAGCGACCAAAGAUUUAUCGCUCUGGGGUAAGCCCGCGUCAGAUUAGGUAGUUGGUGGGGUAACGGCCUACCAAGCCUGCGAUCUGUAGCUGGUCUGAGAGGAUGAUCAGCCACAUUGGGACUGAGACACGGCCCAAACUCCUACGGGAGGCAGCAGUGGGGAAUAUUGGACAAUGGGCGAAAGCCUGAUCCAGCCAUGCCGCGUGAGUGAUGAAGGCCUUAGGGUUGUAAAGCUCUUUUACCCGGGAAGAUAAUGACGGUACCGGGAGAAUAAGCCCCGGCUAACUUCGUGCCAGCAGCCGCAGUAAG